GAACGCACGCCCAUCUCCUACUUUUCAGUUUCUUUCAUUUUCUUCUUUUUCCUCUCCUUUCUCGGUUGACCACUUUAUCCUUUUCUUUCUCCAUCUCCUUCUCUUCUUCUUUCUUCUUCCUCACUCUCUCUCUGUUUUCCACGCAGCACCAACAGUCCCUCUCCCCAUCGCACAACGCAUUUCCCUUCUCCCUUAUUCCUUUUCUUCUCCUCAUUUCCCAAUCCUCCUUCACACGCCCAACCGAGAGAUGAACCAAAAGAGAUGGAGAGAGUCACGGACUCGAGAGACCCACGAGAGAAAAACCGAGAUGCUCUGACCGAUCGAAGGUCCAAUCUCCAGUGGGUCGUUGCCGGAGGAGCAGGGGAGGCGAUUUUCGGUGAAGCAAGGAUGAUUCUGGCAAUUUUCAUGGGAUUUUCGGUAGUUUUGAGAAACCUUCAAGAGGAUAGUCUCAGGAUUGGAGACUUUAACUGAUUCUCCAAUGUUGAGUCCAAGUGACUAGAAUCCGAUGGGAUGUUCAAGUCAAGGGUCCAAUGCAGCCAAGAUGAUGUUUCUUUGGCUGCAGGUAUUCCAGUCGUAGUAUAUGGUGUUGUAGAAGUAUACUGAGGAUAUUAUGACUGAAGCUCAACGCGACGGUUGUAAUGUGUUAGACCGCGGGAUGUCUACUCCUUUAGGUAUUUUGAUUAUGGCUUGUGACGCUUGUGCCACAUGAUCUUUGUUAAGCCAUUUAUGUUAUGUAUUUAAUUCGAGGAAAUAUUUAAUCAUAUAGUUAUUUAAUGGCUCUUUGUUGUAAUUAUUUG